GAUGAACGCUAGCUACAGGCUUAACACAUGCAAGUCGAGGGGAAACGACAUCGAAAGCUUGCUUUUGAUGGGCGUCGACCGGCGCACGGGUGAGUAACGCGUAUCCAACCUGCCCAUCACUUGGGAAUAACCUUGCGAAAGUAAGACUAAUACCCAAUGAUAUCCCACGAAGGCAUCGGAAUGGGAUUAAAGAUUUAUCGGUGAUGGAUGGGGAUGCGUCCGAUUAGCUUGUUGGCGGGGUAACGGCCCACCAAGGCAACGAUCAGUAGGGGUUCUGAGAGGAAGGUCCCCCACAUUGGAACUGAGACACGGUCCAAACUCCUACGGGAGGCAGCAGUGAGGAAUAUUGGUCAAUGGGCGAGAGCCUGAACCAGCCAAGUAGCGUGCAGGAAGACGGCCCUAUGGGUUGUAAACUGCUUUUAUAAGGGAAUAAAGUGGGUCACGUGUGACUUUUUGCAUGUACCUUAUGAAUAAGGACCGGCUAAUUCCGUG
rnacentral:rRNA from 1 species